AGUGAACGCUGGCGGCGUGCUUAACACAUGCAAGUCGAACGAGAACGGAAUAUAGCUUGCUAUAUUUGUCAGCUAAGUGGCGCACGGGUGAGUAAUGUAUAGAUAACCUGCCCUUAAGAAAGGAAUAACAGUUGGAAACGACUGCUAAUGCCCUAUAUGCCUUUAAUACAUAAGUAUGCAAGGGAAACGCUUUAGUGCUAGAGGAUGGGUCUGUAUGGUAUCAGCUUGUUGGUGAGGUAAUGGCUCACCAAGGCUAUGACGCCUAACUGGUUUGAGAGGAUGAUCAGUCACACUGGAACUGAGACACGGUCCAGACUCCUACGGGAGGCAGCAGUAGGGAAUAUUGCACAAUGGACGAAAGUCUGAUGCAGCAACGCCGCGUGGAGGAUGACACAUUUCGGUGCGUAAACUCCUUUUAUAUAGGAAGAUAAUGACGGUACUAUAUGAAUAAGCACCGGCUAACUCCGUGCCAGCCGCCGCUGUAA
rnacentral:rRNA from 1 species